GGUGAGCCCAACUAAAGCAGUAUUGGCGUGCGACUCUCGUCGAGUGCUACUUUCUUGAAGCAUAUCUUGUGUUUUCAAACGUUUUCAUUGGAGCGCAUCCAGAGUUGACUUGCACAGAAGUUAUGCACUUUUGGAAGUGAACUGAUCUUUUUGUCACAGAAGCUGGGCAUCAUGAAAAUAGAGAGCAUGAUAGGA